CACUCUCCUGUCAUUACAGUUGGCUCGCACUGAUGUGUUGACAGUGACCAGCCACAACCAGCAGGUGGCGUUGAGUGUCACAGAAUGGCAGGAUGUUGACGUUUGGAAGAUUGUGGCAGUCACUCAAACGUGGAAUCGUAAACAUGAGAAAUGCUGCAUUGUGGAGGAAAAAACGGCAACGCUGCAAUUGAGCGCUCUGCGGAUGUCAAGGUUGGAGCUUUACUAUACAAAGUUGCCUGGCAUAGCUCUUUGUGGGCUUGAUUGAACAGGAGAGCAAACUUUUCAAUAUGAUCCUCAAAGGCUCUCAGUCAAAAUGGCUGGCUGUGCAAC